CCACGAGCCGCCACCGUCGUCGUGCCUUGCCCCCUCGCGCCUCGUCCUCUGCGACUCCAAGCCGCCGCCAUCGCGCCUCUCCGCCUCAACCCACCCAGCACUGGAGGUGGAGGAGCAGCUAAGGGCGGCGCUGGGACGAAGGUGGAGGAGCACGGAUUCGGAAGAGGCGCGCGCUUGUUAGUGCCCUCGAUUUCGUCCAACGGCGGCUGGCCGCGAGCUGGCGGCGAAAGGCGGCAACCGAGCGGGGAGGCGGCUGGCGGCGCUCGCCCUCGAUUUCGUCCGAGCGUCAAGGAAAGCUUCUCAUGAGAGAGAGAGGCUCCGGUGAACCUGGUUAUCCCCCUCCUCUUCUCUCAGAUCCUGGACAAAAAUUUCUGAUUAGGUGUGCUUUGGGUUGAAUCCGGGUUGAUUUUUAUGGAGAAGAUUGUGGUCAGAUUGAGAUUCGUAACCCCUUUUGUCCAUGAUGAAUAGAUGGUGCUUUUGCUGAUGUGCUUGCAACCCGUUGUGCAGG